GUCUUGAUCAAUGAUACAUUGCUUGACAUUUUAUGAAUAGGAAAAAUUACUCUUUAUGUUUAAAACAUGUACACCUUUUGACCUUAUUUUGGUAUAAGGUGUGAGAUAUUGACUUACAUCUAAUUUUUGCCAACUCUUUUCCAAUUUUUCCAGAAGUUUUGUCAAAUAGUGAAUUCUUAUCCCAAAAGCUGAGAUCAUUUGGCUUAUCAAAUAAAUUGCUGAGAAAUUUACCUCUGCUGUUUGUUGUGGCCUGCCUUCUGCCAUUGGGAAUAGUCAUUAGCUGAGCUGUCAAUUGGAACAAGAUGGGGAAACAAUAUAAAGAUAACUUACAUGCUCUUUUUGACUCUGGAUUGAACUCUAUACACUGCCCUUCCUAAAUCUUCUAAAAGAAGACUCUGGGGCUAUGUGAUAGAGGCUGAAACUAGAGAAAAAAUGCCGGACUGAAGAGUAUAUGAAAUUGAUCACCUCAACGGGGGAGGGGCCUCAGGAGUGAAUUUCCUGAGGAGAGAAGACUCUGGCUGGAGAACAAUUAGGUUCUCUCCAUCUUGAGAUGUUGAAGAGAGAAGAUGGAUAAAGACUUUCUCUUGAGGGUUACUCAUUUUUUCCUGCUGGUUACUGGAAAUCUUUCC
rnacentral:lncRNA from 1 species